ACCUGAACCAAUUUUUAAGCCAGCUGUACAGCAUUGAUUUAAGAAGAAAUGGAAACCAUUCAAAGCUCUGUGAAUUUGGCAGAAAUUAACAGUUUUGGCUGAGUGUUACUGUGAGGUUUGGACUAAUUAAAACGUAAAGCUCACAGUGAAAUUCAGGAGACUUGAAUCCUUGCCGAAGGAAAGGUUUGCAUAGAUCUCUGCAAAUUGGAAGUGUCAAGGUUUCAGCAGCUCUGCUUGAUAAAACAGUGAUGAUCUGUCAAAGAGAACGCUCAGUGCUGUGACAGAUUGGACACGGCAGACCAAAUUGCAGUGGCUUAAGACAUCAGUGUCACCAAACCCUCCACUUCUCUGUGAGCAGUUCCUGGCCCAUCUGAGAAAUGAAGAGUGAGGCAGUGAUCACCUGUGGCACGAACGUCUCAGAGCAUGAAGCUGGUCCUAGGCAGAGGUGCCCUGAGCCACUGAAGGGGAAUUCUCUGUUGAAGUAGCGUCUGGACAGGAAGCUUAGAGACUUCUGGAGCAUCUGGGAGUGUGGUCUGCUGGUAGAACAGGAAAGCAACGGAAAAGCAUGGCAAACUGGGCACUGAGGAAACUCUCCAGCCUAGUGCAGGCAAGACCUUGGCCUUUGGUGCAGUGACAGGUAUCUUGCAGUCCCUUACUUCUACUCCUUGAAGAAAGCAGGACCGAGUACAAGAAAUGAAUAUGCAUCUGAAGUUUAUUGUCUGUGCAUCCUGCUGAAAUCUCCAGGAUUUACUGCGGGAAGUCUGCCCCUGCAUGCCUGCUGUAUGGGCUGAUGCCUGUCAGCUGCCCAGAGCGCUGCUGCUGGAGCACCUCCUGCAUCAGUGGGCUCCUCGUCAUGCAGCAAGGGCUCGGUAGGAGCUGCAGGCUCUUGGCACACUCCUGGUCUUGAUCUGAAAUUAAUUGACACAACUUGAAUCUUUCGGAGAUGAUGCCAGAAGGAAGAACAGAAGACCUGUGAGAAAGCAAAGAUUUAACACACUUUGUGUCUGUUGGUAUCUAUGCUGUUAUACAGAUUUACUUGUGAGAAAAAUACCCAAAGCAACAUUCCUCUAUCACAACGGACCUCUGACAAGCUUUUAGAUGGGAAGAGCUGUCAUACAUACACAGAAACAAAGAAGUCUCAGAAGCAAGAGGAGGACUCCUGGUAUUCUCACUCCCCUCCUGUGCACAUGACCUUCUCUUCUUGAGUCUGAGCCCCAACUCUCCCAGCCUGUCUCCAUAGGAGAGGUGCUUCAGUUCUCUGUUCAUCUUCAUGGCCUCCUCUGGACUCUCUCCAGGAGCUCCAUGUCCUCCUUAUGUUGGAGGCUCCAGAACUGGACACAGUACUCCAGGUCUACACAUCCUGAGACAAUGACACAGAUAGCCACUUGGAGACUCCGCAAUGUGUACAUUGGUGAUAUAUGUUACCAUGGCCUUGAAUUUCUGGGAGCUGGCCAACACUGGAAAUGCCAAGAUACCUUGAGAGAUGUUGCUGUUGAGAUGUUUCCAGCUGGAGUCAGAAGUGUUUGGAGUCUUGAAAGACAGGCAGUUCUUGUAUUGAAUCUAUUCCCAUUUGCAGGCGUUAGAGAUCUGAAUCUCAUUUGUUCCAACCUAACUCAGUAGAACUACUGAAUUCAGUGUGAUGCCAGUUCAAAUCAGUGUGAGAUCUAAAUCCAGCCUUCAAAGGGUUGGAUAGUUUUUGUAAAGAUGAUUAGAAAUUCAGUGUCCUUAUUUAAACUGAAAAUAAAUGCAAAACUUUUUGAAGUCUUCUUGUUAGCUAGAGAGCUCUGUUUUGCAAGAAAGAAGAAAGCUGGCAGAAGUAUAAAUGUUAUCCACAACAAUUUUUAAAAUAACUAUGGGAAAUUAUACACUUUCUUUGAUUUUUUGAGUUGUCACUUUUGGCUUGAGAAGUCCAAAGUUCCUGAGACAAAUUACUCUAAUUUAUUCCUGGUUGUAUGAGUAAGUUUUACAGCAGUUUCUCAGAGGUGAAUGUUGACUCUGACCACCCUUAGGAAAUGCUCUGUGUGUUUUCUCAUUAGCAAAGCACCACAACAUUUACAGCAGCUGCAGUGUAUCUAUGAGCUUGUAGGCGUUGUUACUCCCUGUAAAAGCACUGGACAUUGAUUAGUCUAGACAUUAAGGAUAUAUCUCACUUAAUCUCAGCUGCCAGUCAAAGCUGGCUGGGUAAACUCAACAGUCAGUGAAAAUAGUGGCACUUACACAUGGUGAUUCAUCCCAGCCUAAGUUCAAAUGAGGUAGAUCAGCUUUGGAUGUGUCUGUCUCUCCACCCAGAUGACCUCACACCGUAUUUAUAAGCAGCAAGUCUAGUAAAGACUGAACAUAUGAUCUGUCAUUUCUUCAUAGAUAAUUCUAGGACAGUGACAAUAUGAUCUCAAAGACAAUGUUUCACUGUUGGAAAAUAAAGGGGGUAAGGCAGGUAUGAAUGAGACUGGAAAGGACAAGAAUAAUGUUUUCUGUACCAAAAUUUCAAUUAGGUUACAUUAAGGUCUUUUAUGGUUUACUGGUUUUAAUGAUGCAGCAAAAUUACAACAAAUGAGGCUGGUUGUACUGUCAUUAAUAUAGUUUCUUUGUGGGUGAUUUUUCUAAAUACCUAGAAAAUUAUUCAUUUGGUAUAAAAAUAAAAUAUAGCACUGCACAUAGCAAAAAAAAAAAUAAUAAUAAAAAAAUAAUAUUUCCAGAAAUUAAGUUUCUCACCCAUGAAAAUUUUCAGAUUACUAGUUUUUUUUGACUAAUUGAUGAAUCAUUUAGGCUGCCCUUGCACAAUAUUUAUCUUCCAGCCUUUUUCUGCUGCCUUUGUCAAAGCAAAGCAGUUAAAGCACUACAAAACACUGUUUUGGUCGUUUUCUCUAAACAAAAUAUAUCAAUCUGGUUUGAUAAAAUGUGGAGUAAACUGAAAUAAAAUUGCCUUAAAUCAUAGUUUUUUUAGGACCAGUAUUUUCAGAUUUUAAUGAGAUCUCCUUCCAAAGCAAAAUACUUCAGGAUUGCUUAUUCCUUCCCCAUGACUUCCUGUCAUGACAUCUACUCAAAUGCUUUGUGAGGGUAGGAGCCUUCAUGUUUUCUUUUAAGGUUUCUUUUAAGUGUGUAUAAUGCAUAAUGCAGAAAAGUAAGUAGGAAAAGAGACAUCCACUGCAUGGAAGUGUGACAGUACAGCAACUGUACUUGCUUUUGUGUUGCAUGUUAAGUUAAGAAAAGCCAGUAUAUUGGUAUACUUUUAAAAAUAUUGGUUAAAGUAAUGUUUUUGGGUUUUAGCAGUACAAUCUCUCCCUUCUGGAAGACAUGUAAGACCUAGGAAAUGUACAAGGCUGGGCUCACAGUCAGCCAGAGCCAUGUUAAUACUCCUUACUUUGUUAGUUUAUCCUGAGAAAGGUUAUCUGGUAUUUUCAGGAUAGGUACAGAAAAGAAUCUGAAACUUAACAAUUGAAGUAACAGGUCAUUUGGGAAACUUUAGCUGUGGUACCUUUCACUUUGAUUUCUAAUAUAUAUUGCCUCUAGGCAUUAGACAGACCUUUCCUGGAUUAUUCUUCCUUCCUGGGGGUGAAUUGCUCUAUGUCAAUGUCGCUAUUGGAAUUAGUAAGGAAAUAUUCAGCAUUAGUAGCAGUAGCAUCAGUCUUGCUAUAGAGAACAAGACACUGAAGAUGCUGUUUCUGGAAAUGUUCUAUUGCCAGCAGAAUGAACUCCACUGGGUAACUCAACUGGUUACACAAGGACAUUUUAGAAGAAUAAAUGCUGAUACUGGUGAAGAAUUACUCUUUUUGUGUUGAUAGCACCAAAGGAGUCUUAACACUUCAGUGUAUAUCUUAAACUAUUUUAUCCAAAUAGCUACUCUGCUUGUCCGUCUUUGCCAACAAGCUUUCAUGGUCCAUAGAAGAUUACAAGAGAGUAACACUAAAUAAAACAUAAGAGAUGCAUUAGGAAAUUUUAAAAUAUAUAUAUAUAUUGUAAAAGCUAUUAUUAUAUUAAAUUAUUUUGCAAUAUUA